rnacentral:rRNA from 1 species
GGAGCCGUAGCGAAAGCGAGUUUUAACUGAGCGUUCAGUUACUUGACGUAGACCCGAAACCGGGCGACCUACCCAUGAGCAGGAUGAAGCGAAAGUAAAAUUUCGUGGAGGUCCGAACCCACGAGCGUUGAAAAGCUCGGGGAUGACUUGUGGGUAGCGGUGAAAUUCCAAUCGAGCCCGGAGAUAGCUGGUUCUCCCCGAAAUAGCUUUAGGGCUAGCCUCAAGGUGAGAGAUACGGAGGUAGAGCACUGAAUGUCCUAGGGGGUAUUGCACCUACCGAAGACUAUCAAACUCCGAAUGCCGUCAUCUUAUACUUGGGAGUCAGACUGUGGGUGAUAAGAUUCAUAGUCGAAAGGGCAACAGCCCAGAUCGUCAGCUAAGGUCCCUAAAUGUAAGUUAAGUGGUAAAGGAUGUGGGAUUGCACAGACAACCAGGAUGUUGGCUUAGAAGCAGCCACUCAUUCAAAGAGUGCGUAAUAGCUCACUGGUCGAGUGAUCCUGCGCCGAAGAUUUCCGGGGCUAAAACUUACUACCGAAGCUACGGCAUCAGUAAUGAUGGGUAGGGGAGCUUCCCAUACGGGUUGAAGCAUGACCGUAAGGACAUGUGGACAGUAUGGGAGUGAGAAUGUUGGCAUGAGUAGCGAGAUGUGGGUGAGAAUCCCACAGGCCGUAAACCCAAGGUUUCCAGGGGAAGGUUCGUCCGCCCUGGGUUAGUCGGGACCUAAGCUGAGGCCGAAAGGCGUAGGUGAUGGACAACAGGUUGAUAUUCCUGUACUACCGAUAACCGUUUGAGAGAAGGGAUGACACAGUAGGAUAAGCUAAGCACACUGUUGGUUAUGUGUGCCCAAGCAUUGAGGCAGUCAAAGUAGGCAAAUCCGCUUUGAUAAUGCUGGGAUGUGAUGGGGAGCGAAAUUUAGUAGCGAAGUAGCUGAUUUCACACUGUCAAGAAAAGUCUCUAUCGAGGUUAAAGGUACCCGUACCGCAAACCGACACAGGUGGGUGAGGAGAGUAUCCUAAGGCCAGCGAGAGAACUGUUGUUAAGGAACUCGGCAAAAUGACCCCGUAACUUAGGGAUAAGGGGUGCCACCAUCAGGUGGCCGCAGAGAAUAGGCCCAAGCGACUGUUUACCAAAAACAUAGGUUUCUGCUAAGUCGCAAGACGAUGUAUAGGAGCUGACGCCUGCCCGGUGCUGGAAGGUUAAGGGGAUCUGUUAGAGCAAUCGAAGCAGUGAACUUAAGCCCCAGUAAACGGCGGCCGUAACUAUAACGGUCCUAAGGUAGCGAAAUUCCUUGUCGGGUAAGUUCCGACCCGCACGAAAGGCGUAACGAUUUGGGCACUGUCUCAACAACAGACUCGGUGAAAUUGUAAUUCCGGUGAAGAUGCCGGAUACCUGCGACAGGACGGAAAGACCCCAUGGAGCUUUACUGUAGCUUGACAUUGGGUCUUGGUACUACAUGUACAGGAUAGGUGGGAGGCUUUGAAACCAGGACGCCAGUUUUGGCGGAGCCAUCCUUGGGAUACCACCCUUGUAGUACUGGGACUCUAACCAUAGGCCAUGAAUCUGGUCUUGGGACACUGUCAGGUGGGCAGUUUGACUGGGGCGGUCGCCUCCCAAAAGGUAACGGAGGCGCUCAAAGGUUCUCUCAGUACGGUCGGAAAUCGUACGUAGAGUGUAAAGGCAAAAGAGAGCUUGAUUGCAAGACAUACAGGUCGAGCAAGGAUGAAAAUCGGACUUAGUGAUCCGGUGGUUCUGCGUGGAAGGGCCAUCGCUCAACGGAUAAAAGCUACCCUGGGGAUAACAGGCUUAUCUCCCCCAAGAGUCCACAUCGACGGGGAGGUUUGGCACCUCGAUGUCGGCUCAUCACAUCCUGGGGCUGUAGUAGGUCCCAAGGGUUGGGCUGUUCGCCCAUUAAAGUGGUACGCGAGCUGGGUUCAGAACGUCGUGAGACAGUUCGGUCCCUAUCCGUCGCAGGCGUAGGAAAUUUGAGAAGACCUGUCCUUAGUACGAGAGGACCGGGAUGGACGUACCUCUGGUGUACCAGUUGUCCUGCCAAGGGCAUGGCUGGGUAGCUAUGUACGGAAUGGAUAAGCGCUGAAAGCAUCUAAGCGCGAAGCCAACUUCAAGAUAAGAUUUCCCACCGCAAGGGUAAGACCCCAGAAAGACUAUCUGGUUGAUAGGUCGAAGGUGUAAGUGCAGCAAUGUAUUUAGCUUAUCGAUACUAAUAGGUCGAGGACUUGACCAAU